rnacentral:lncRNA from 1 species
UGCAUAUUUAUGACCUUUCACUGCAUAUGCCGAUGACGAAAAGUUGUCUUCGAACGUGACUAAACACUUUGGGAAUAUUGUCUGACUCAGUCAAGGUAAACCUUGAAAAAAGGAAAACUCAGGGCGAAGAAGUUUCCAAUCAGAGCGCUUCACAAGGAAAUAAAAAGCGCUAUCAGCUGUAAACGAAUACAUCACGAUCGACUGAUGCGUUGAAUCCAUUCGCAAGGAUCGUAAAAGAAAGAAAUAUUCCUCCACGAAGCAUUUAAUUAUUUCUUAUAUCAGCUUUUGCAAUGAGUUACCCACCUCAACCACCGCCAUACAAUCCAACAAAUCCUCAGCCGAACGCUGGAGUUGGUUUCGAGCAAUAUCAACAAGGAACUCCGUAUCCUCCGCCGCCAUAUUCAUCACCAUAUCCUCAACAGCAGUACGGCGGGCCUCCUACACAGCAAGGCUAUCCUCCGCAGCAGGGCUUUCAGCAGCCGUAUGGUCAACCGCAGUACGUCUACACAAACCAGCCUAAAACUGUUUACGUUUAUGAUCAAAGUGGGAGACGAAGACAAGACAACAGUGAUGCGGCUGACUGUUUUCUGUUAGGGCUUUGUGCUGCAUGUCUGUGCUGUUGUGUUCUCGACUAAAAUCAGUGACAUCUAAACCUGUCUGCAUAUGUUAUAUGUUAGAUUUUCUCACUAUUAGCUUUUAUUUGUUUUGAGAAAGCCUCUCUGUAGUUUUAUAACACAAGAAUAGAACAGAAAUUGUGAUAUUCAACUAUGUAUGUACGUUAGUAUUUGUUGACAUUGUGAAUAAUUAUAACUCAAAACUGAAAUUAUUGCAUAAUUAUAAGAGUUUAUCCUAACGCCAAUUUGACAGUUUCCGAUGCAAAUGUAGCGCGAUCGAGUAGCAGGUCGUAGUUCCAUAUAUGGUCGAAUAGAUAAAUAUUUCAAAAUACAACGAGGAAAGUAAAAUUGGUGGUGUAAAUGUGUGACAAGGUUUCCUGAAAACUGAAUUAGAGGUAAAUUGGGGAACAGAACAUUUCUAAAGUUUUUCAAGGAUUUUUUUAAAUUUUCAUUACUAUUGUUUCAUAAGGUCGCACUAAUAGCAAGUAUGAUAGAUAUUGUAAGAAAUAUACAACUUUUUUGAAAGUCAUGUUUUGGCAUCUUCAGAUGACAUAUGCAUGCUGAAACAUGUCUAUUAAAACAGUUGUAUAUUUCUUACAAUAACUAUUGUUUCAAAACCAAAAAAAAUUAUAUCAUAUGCACUCUUGUCCAAAAUUUAUUUUAGGUAAUAAUUACAUGACCAUAAACAUUGCUGUAUUUCAAAUAUGUUGGGUGUUGAAAUUAAGAGUAUGCGAAAUUUACAUAAGGCAAAAUUUAGUGUGCAAAUCAGAGCAUUGAAGGACACCAGUAUAUGAACAAACAGUACCAUGCUAGUGUGAAAAACAAAAAUUUCUUUUUAUCAAAGCCUGCAUAUUUAGCUUUUGUGGAGCAGACAGCUCCUGAAAGGUUUGGUUUGAGAUGGAGAAGUGUUUACUCCUCUAAAAAUCUGCUCAUAGAGCAUGAACUUAUGAAAUACACACUCUUCCAGAAGAAUUGAGUGUAAGCCCAACCUCUGAUAUUUUUGUUAAACCACUCAUUUUUGUUGGUUUUGUUUUAGGUACUUUCAUUUUGAAAGGAAAAGUAACAGGUUAUUAAAGCCUAAUGAUAAUUUAUCAU